rnacentral:lncRNA from 1 species
AGAUGACUUUGGGCUAGUCACUCACUCUCAGCCUAACCUACCUCACAGGGUUGUUGUGAGGAUAAAACGGGGAGGAGAAGAGCUAUGUAUGCCACUUUGAGCUCCUUGGAGGAAAGGUGGAAUAUUAUAAAGGCAGUAAGAUAAAUAAACAAAUGGAAGUCAUUCAUCACACAGCACAUAGUUCAGUAUGGAAUUGAUACAAGAUACGUUCACCAGCUAAGGUGACUUUGAAACAGGACUGGACAAAUUCACAGAGGAUAAAGCUAUCAAUGGCUAUCGGACAUGAUGGGUAUCUACUAUGUUUAUCAGGAGCAGGGUACCAGUUGCUGGGGAAGAACAGCAGGAGAAGGCAAUUGUCCUCAUGCCUAAAUAUGAAUGGUCUUCCCAUAUGCAUCUGGCUGGCCAAUGUGCAAUGCAGGAUGCUGGACUAGAUAGGCCUUCAAACUAUUCCAGUAGGACUCUCCCUCAGGAAGUUGAGUCAGAUCAGAGGGUCCGUUCACUCACAAGUGGUACCUCAAGCCAAUUGAGAAGCUUUGAAGCCCUGUUCUGACUGUGCCAUACCCCAUAUGGAAAAGUAGGUUGAGCCCAGGAGAUGGAGCUGCUUUUGUACUAGAAUGGCAGGAACCAAUCAGGAACCAAUUAACUUCAGAAAAGAGAAGUGUCCGUUCUAGCCUGGUCUGGAAUAUCUUAUAUCAUGGGUAGGCAAACUAAGGCCCGGGAGCCGAAUCCGGCCCAAUUGCCUUCUAAAUCCAGCCCACGGACGGUCCAGGAAUCAGUGUGUUUUUACAUGAGUAGAAUGUGUCCUUUUAUUUAAAAUGCAUCUCUGGGUUAUUUGUGGGGCAUAGGAAUUCAUUCAUUUUUUAUUUUAUUUUUCAAAAUAUAAUCUGGCCCCCCACAAGGUCUGAGGGACAGUGGACCUGCCCCAUGCUGAAAAAGUUUGCUGCCCCCUGUGCCUUGUAUCAACAUGCAGUCCCAAAUGUGUGCAUUGCUGGUGGGCGCAUUGUUUAAUCUGGUGAAAGAAUCCCUUUUUCUCUCUUAUCCCACUCCUAACCCUCUGAAACAGGCAACGCUUCUGUGUCCUAAGGCUCCUCCCUUGAGACAGGAAGGAACUGUCCUUGCCAAAAGAGGUCAGGGAGGCGGUCCUUUUUGUGUGACACACAACUGUUUGGGUUUCUAGCUCCUGGAGAACAGGAAUGUGUCUUUCCUUUCAGAAUACAAGUAAAAUAAUUAUUGAUAUUUUUUUUAAGGAAGAAAAAAAGCUGUUUAAAUAAUAUGCUGGCACAAUGUAUCUAGUGCUAGAAGUUGCAAAAAUUGAAAAAGUUUCUUGUAUUAAAUCCUUUCUUGGAGAGCAAGGCCUCCAAUGAAGCUGAAUAUUGGAAGAUUCUGGAUGGUUAGUAUAGAAAUUUAUUUAUGUAUGCUACUACAGCAGCAAGAAUACAGCUUGCCCCAAAGUGGAAAGAUGCAGAAGUCCCAGCAAAGGAAGAAUGGAUACGAAGACUUAUGGAAUAUGCAGAAAUGGUGAAACUCACCGGAAGAAUAAGAAAUCAAGAUAACAAACUUUUUAUAAAAGAAGGGGAAAUGGUUUAUUGAAUAUUUACAGAUAAAUUGCAAACAGAUAAAAACAUUGGCAGGAUUAUUGUAAUAACCUGCAGUUUCAUAAUGUAGGUAAUUAAAUGAGCAAAAAAGAUAUUAAAAAAUAAAUUUAAGGAACCGCAGAAAGAGAGGGAAUGGAGUCAAACUUUGAAAUGUUAAAUUGAUUGUAAAGCUAAUGAAAUGUAAGUGGUCCAUGUUUCACAAGCAUAUAGUAAGGUUGGUAGUAAAAAAGCUUUGUAAACAAGCAUUUUGGUUUCCCUGCGAAUGUCUCGGCAUCCAGCUGGCCACUUUUGAGUAUAGGAUGCUGAACUACAUGGGCCAACUGGCCUGAUCCUGCAGGCUUUUCUUACAAGGGCCAGCCAAACGCCUGUGGGAUUUCCCCCUGCUCCUCAGGCAAUAUAUUGUGGGAAUGGGUGAGCCAGCAAGCAAAUCCAGUUUGACCUUAAGUUUUGUUUUUGCUUGCUGGCCAAAUACCUACUAUUUUUCUGGGGCAAAGUUCUUUGAACAAGAGCAAUGUUGUCAUCUCAGAUGGGAGAGAGUCAAUCUGACGCAGCUGGUUUUUCCCCAGUCGACAAUGGGUUAACUCACAUACCACUGAAAAACCAGAAGAAUGGCAAAGGGGCCAAAAAUUCUAGUUAAAACUGGCCUAACAUCAUUCAACUCUCCCUGAAUACAGGUAUCUGUCAGGACAGUUAUUGUUUGGUAAGCUGAUAAGUAGGGAUGGGUGUAUUAGUGUACAGAUUGUUCCUUCUGUUUUUUAUAUUCAGGGUGUGAGUGCUAUUGUUUUCUUAGCCAGAGCGCUGCCACCCACACAGACGAGGUAUUUUUGCCAGUCUUGGCAGAACCUGAAGAUUUGCAGAAAUACCAAAAGUAUUUUCAGGGGAAUACACCUAAGGGCGGACCCCCCCCCCCCCAAAAAAAGCUCAGAGAGGAAUGAAAGUGUGCAGUGGCUACAGAAUGUUGACUGCCUGGAAGAAAGUAUAAGAACUGGGUGAUGGCGGCGGCAGAAUGUAGAAUGCAUAGAAUCCUGAAAAGAAGCCCUCCGCACUGCAACAUUUUGUUGUAGUUCAUUUGUAUCCAAAGUCCAUGAAGCUGACAACCCUGAUAUUAAUUUUCUUCCCCAUGUAAUGGCUGGGAAAACAGCCCCAUUUCAUGCCUGCAACCCAUGUCCCAACUAUAACCCCCUUUUAAUCCAGGAAGAGACUUGGCUGCGCCCUUGCCAAUUCUCAUGUUUCCUCAAAUGUACACCACAGGGUUUUCUCAAGCACCCACAGCUUAUGUGGACUUCCCCUCAUUGGUCAGCAGUUGAAUGAUGACAUCAUCUGCCAAUCACGUCUACCUUGAUUAAAGAAGCAUAAAAUACAGCAUUACGUCUGUGUGAUUUAUCACUCAUGCUUCGGCCAGGGGCUACCAACUGUUGAGCUGAGUCUUUUGUUACGUUAGGUUGCCCAAUUCACAGGUUGCUGGUCUAGAUGGGCAUUUGGCCUUCUUAUGCUCUUUUGCUAUUCUUAUUUUUGCUUCUCUUACAAAUACGUCUGGUUUAAAAAACCCAAGCAAACCACCAGUGUACAUUGGUACCUCGGUUUAAGAACAGCUUAGUUUAUGAACAACUUGGAUUAAGAACGCUGCAAACCCAAAAGUAGGUGUUUUGGUUUGUGAACUUUGCCUUGGAAUAAGAACAUGUUUC